rnacentral:rRNA from 1 species
GAUGAACGCUGGCGGCGUGCCUAAUACAUGCAAGUCGAGCGAACGGACGAGAAGCUUGCUUUUCUGAUGUUAGCGGCGGACGGGUGAGUAACACGUGGAUAACCUACCUAUAAGACUGGGAUAACUUCGGGAAACCGGAGCUAACACCGGAUAAUAUUUUGCACCGCAUGGUUCAAAAGUGAAAGACGGUCUUGCUGUCACUUAUAGAUGGAUCCGCGCUGCAUUAGCUAGUUGGUAAGGUAACGGCUUACCAAGGCAACGAUGCAUAGCCGACCUGAGGGGGUGAUCGGCCGCACUGGAACUGAAACACGGUCCAGACUCCUACGGGAGGCAGCAGUAGGGAAUCUUCCGCAAUGGGCGAAAGCCUGGCGGAGCGACGCCGCGUGAGUGAUGGAGGUCUUCGGAUCGUAAAACUCUGUUAUUAGGGAAGAACAUAUGUGUAAGUAACUGUACACAUCUUGACGGUACCUAGUCAGAAAGCCACGGCUAACUACGUG